UUGACGAUGUAAACUAGACCAAUCUGUCAAAAAGGCUGGCAUUCACAAUAGCCUCUGGGCAAAGCAACUUCAAGUCAUCUGUCCCUGCAAUGUACCCGGAGAGGACUUCCAUUAGCCUGCAUGAAACUUCCCAUUUAGGAGAAUGAAAACCGCUUAUUAAUAAGCCUGUUCUACACGUGAAGCCCUCCUGAGACUGAUACAUGCCUCUAAUUAAUGUCCACGGCAUGUGCCCACCUGCCCGGUCUCUCACUGUAAAACACUGGAAGGAAUGGAACAGAAAAACGGAAAUACAUAACUAUGACCCUGGGAAGAGCUAGGAGCUGGAGCUGGAACUUCCGGGAAGCAGCCAUCCUCUGUUAAGGGUGGCCACCCUGCCCACCCCUGAAUAUGCUGACCAGGUACCAUCAGAAAACACCUGUCCUCUAAGAGUUCAAGACUUUGUUGGAUCAGCUCAGAGAGGGAGCUGAUUAUUGUGCAGCGAGAGAGAAUUAUUUUGAACAAAUGCUCUAGAGGUAGCAAAUAUGUGACUCUAAAUCACCAGAGAUCAUCACCCGUGAAGCUGAGACUUAUAAACAAAAUUUGCAAGGUGCUGGAGGACAAGCCUUGUAUCUCUUCAGCAGCCCUGAAGGAGCACCCUCUGCCACAGGACUGAAGGUGGUGCGUGAAACACCAGCCGGCACCAUGGAGCUUUCCAACACAAAUCAACCUUUUCCUCUACAUGUUCCUCCGCUUGAAGAUGGACUCUGGUAACAGAAUGGAGUGUGCUGUUUCACAGGAGAAAGUCCCUCCCACCCCACAACCACUCCUGAAAAUAGGGACCCCCAACCCAGGCAGGGAAAUCGUGGCAAGUGUUAUGCUAAAUGAAUAUGAAAAUAAUAAACACACGAAGGAAACAGUC